rnacentral:tRNA from 1 species
AUUUAUGUAGUUUAUAAAAACAUUACAUUUUCAAUGUAAAGAUAAAAUAUAAUUUUUCAUAAAUA